GCCGGGUGCUGUGGCGCGCGCCUGUAAUCCAAGCCACUGGGAGGCUAAGGCCGGGGAGCGCGUGAGCUCAGGAGCUCUGAACUGCAGCUCGACUGUGUCGAGCGGGUGUCCGCACUAAGUUCGGUAUCGAUAUGGUGCUCCUGGGGGAGCCCGGGACCACCAGGUCGUCUAAGGAGGGGUGCACCGGCCCAGGCCGGACACGGGGCAGGUCAAAGCCCCCGUGCCGCUCAGUAGUGGGAUCGCGCCUGUGAGUAGACGCUGUAGUGCAGCCUGAGCAAGACAGCGGGACCCUGCCUUUU
rnacentral:SRP_RNA from 1 species